rnacentral:rRNA from 1 species
CGCGGCCUAUCAGCUUGUUGGUGGGGUAGUGGCUUACCAAGGCUUUGACGGGUAGCCGGCCUGAGAGGGUGACCGGCCACAUUGGGACUGGGAUACGGCCCAGACUCCUACGGGAGGCAGCAGUGGGGAAUAUUGCACAAUGGGCGGAAGCCUGAUGCAGCAACGCCGCGUGCGGGAUGACGGCCUUCGGGUUGUAAACCGCUUUCGCCUGUGACGAAGCGUGAGUGACGGUAAUGGGUAAAGAAGCACCGGCUAACUACGUGCCAGCAGCCGCGGUGAUACGUAGGGUACGAGCGUUGUCCGGAUUUAUUGGGCGUAAAGGGCUCGUAGGUGGUUGAUCGCGUCGGAAGUGUAAUCUUGGGGCUUAACCCUGAGCGUGCUUUCGAUACGGGUUGACUUGAGGAAGGUAGGGGAGAAUGGAAUUCCUGGUGGAGCGGUGGAAUGCGCAGAUAUCAGGAGGAACACCAGUGGCGAAGGCGGUUCUCUGGGCCUUUCCUGACGCUGAGGAGCGAAAGCGUGGGGAGCGAACAGGCUUAGAUACCCUGGUAGUCCACGCUGUAAACGGUGGGUACUAGGUGUGGGGUCCAUUCCACGGGUUCCGUGCCGUAGCUAACGCUUUAAGUACCCCGCCUGGGGAGUACGG